rnacentral:rRNA from 1 species
UGGGGAAUAUUGCACAAUGGGCGCAAGCCUGAUGCAGCCAUGCCGCGUGUAUGAAGAAGGCCUUCGGGUUGUAAAGUACUUUCAGCGGGGGGGAAGGGAGUAAAGUUAAUACCUUUGCUCAUUGACGUUACCCGCAGAAGAAGCACCGGCUAACUCCGUGCCAGCAGCCGCGGUAAUACGGAGGGUGCAAGCGUUAAUCGGAAUUACUGGGCGUAAAGCGCACGCAGGCGGUCUGUCAAGUCGGAUGUGAAAUCCCCGGGCUCAACCUGGGAACUGCAUUCGAAACUGGCAGGCUAGAGUCUUGUAGAGGGGGGUAGAAUUCCAGGUGUAGCGGUGAAAUGCGUAGAGAUCUGGAGGAAUACCGGUGGCGAAGGCGGCCCCCUGGACAAAGACUGACGCUCAGGUGCGAAAGCGUGGGGAGCAAACAGG